UCUGAAAAAGUGGCAUGUUUACUUACUUGAUGGGCUGGGCCACAUCGCAUCGCAUGACACUGGGGAGAAUACAAGGGGCCAGCUGUUCACUGGGCGGUCGGGCCAGCGGUUCGGGUCUUUUGCUUGCUGUCGAACCGCCGGUUCUGCGGCGACUCUUGGUCGCGUUGUGUUGUGUGUCUUCGUGCGGAAGCAAGCAACAAGCAGUAGUAGCGAGCGCAUUGACUGUCCUGUCCGGUCCGGCCAACCAAACCAGAGAGUCUGCUUCUUCUACCUCCCCUCCGCCGCCGCUCCUCCCAAUCCCAACAGAGGCGUGGAGAGGAGAGGAGGUGAGGAAGAGAGCCUCAGGCAUCCAUUCCAUGGCCUUGGGGGGCCUUCUGCGGGGCCUCGUUCCGCCGGCCGCCUGGCUGCCCUGCCACGAGCUCUUCGCCUCCUGGCACCACUGGCUCCCCUCGCUCCCGCGCCUCCGCCCGCCCGCCUCCGACGGAUUCAAGCUUCUCCUAGUGCUGCUCCUCUUCUCCGCCGCCCUGGCUGAGGUCCGCUACAUCGCCUCCUCCUCCAUGGCGCCCACGCUCCGGCCAGGCGACCGAGCCGUCGCCGAGAAGGUUACAUACUUAUUCCGGAGGCCAUCUAUUGGGGAUAUAGUGUUCUUCAAAGUGCCGACCGCCGUACAGAAUUAUGGUGUCAAUAAGGAUGUUGUAUUUAUUAAGAGGGUACUGGCAACACCUGGAGAUUUCAUUGAGGUUCGGCAGGGCCAACUUAUUGUAAAUGGUGUUGCACAAAAGGAGCAUUACACAGCAUCCCAUGCAUUGUACACAAUGGAAGCAAUGGUCCAGGGAUUUUCAAAGUGCUGUUAACAAAAGGGUUAACAGAUGUGACCAGAGAAUUUUCAUUCUCCACAAGAUGAUGAUCAAAAGUGGACUGGCUGCUCCAUGUUGUUGACUUCUUGAGUGCCUUGUUGUAAUCAACAGGCCUCAGAUGCGCCUUCCUGAAGGUCAUGUGUUUGUCAUGGGUGACAACCGAAAUAACAGCUGUGAUUCUCGUGCCUGGGGGCCUCUUCCCAUUGGCAACAUCGUUGGAAGGUACAUGACGUCCUUCACAAGAUCCUCUUUCCAGUAACUGAGGUGAAGAGGUGCGACCCAUCAUCUCCAGUGUUCCUGACGGCUGAUGCUGCUUCACAUCAAUAUAGUUACUAAGUUGUGCUGAGCCUGGAGCCACUCUGUUAUAUGUCUACUUGUGUGAGGACUUGCCCUCGAGUGUGCUGUAGCAUUGUUGUUGUACGUGAUGGCCUACUCCCAGCUGUGGUUGUAAAAGAGGUCACCUCUGCCGCUCGCUGUUGGCACGUGCCCUCAGGCUGUCGUGUGUUGAGCUUAUGAAUUACCUGUUGAUAUGUAUCUAAAACUUGGAAGAGGUUGCAUUGGGUUAUGAAGCUUAUCAGCGAUGACAAAUGCCAUAAUGCUUGAACCCAAUUUGUGCAAGAACCUUGGACAUGAUUGUGCAUUUGUUCCGGAUUGCGUGUUUUUCUUUUCA